rnacentral:rRNA from 1 species
GACGAACGCUGGCGGCGUGCUUAACACAUGCAAGUCGAACGAAGAGCGAUGGAAGCUUGCUUCUAUCAAUCUUAGUGGCGAACGGGUGAGUAACGCGUAAUCAACCUGCCCUUCAGAGGGGGACAACAGUUGGAAACGACUGCUAAUACCGCAUACGAUCCAAUCUCGGCAUCGGGACUGGAUGAAAGGUGGCCUCUAUUUAUAAGCUAUCACUGAAGGAGGGGAUUGCGUCUGAUUAGCUAGUCGGAGGGGUAACGGCCCACCAAGGCGAUGAUCAGUAGCCGGUCUGAGAGGAUGAACGGCCACAUUGGGACUGAGACACGGCCCAGACUCCUACGGGAGGCAGCAGUGGGGAAUCUUCCGCAAUGGACGAAAGUCUGACGGAGCAACGCCGCGUGAGUGAUGACGGCCUUCGGGUUGUAAAGCUCUGUUAAUCGGGACGAAUGGUUCUUGUGCGAAUAGUGCGAGGAUUUGACGGUACCGGAAUAGAAAGCCACGGCUAACUACGU